rnacentral:rRNA from 1 species
GCAGCCGCGGUAAUUCCAGCUCCAAUAGCGUAUAUUAAAGUUGUUGCAGUUAAAAAGCUCGUAGUUGAAUUUCGGGAUCAGCAUGUCGGUCGUGCCUCUGGUACGUACUGGUAUCGUUGAUUUCUACCUUCUGACGAACUAUGAUGUCAUUAAUUUGGUGUCAUGGGGAAUCAGGACUGUUACUUUGAAAAAAUUAGAGUGUUUAAAGCAGGCACACGCUUGAAUACAUUAGCAUGGAAUAAUGAAAUAGGACGUUUGACCCUAUUUUGUUGGUUUCUAGGAUCGACGUAAUGAUUAAUAGGGAUAGUUGGG